UACGUAGGGGGCGAGCGUUGUCCGGAUUUACUGGGCGUAAAGGGUGAGUAGGCGGUGAUAUGUGUCAGAUGUAAAAGGCUAUGGCUUAACUAUAGUUAGCAUUUGAAACUGUAUUACUUGAGUGCAGGAGAGGUAAGUGGAAUUCCUAGUGUAGCGGUGAAAUGCGUAGAUAUUAGGAGGAACACCAGUGGCGAAGGCGACUUACUGGACUGUAACUGACGCUGAGUCACGAAAGCGUGGGUAGCAAACAGG
rnacentral:rRNA from 1 species